rnacentral:rRNA from 1 species
GGCGAACGGGUGAGUAACGUAUCGGAACGAGCCUACCAGCGGGGGAUAACUAAUCCAAAGAGUAGCUAAUACCGCAUACGCCCUACGGGGGAAANNNNNNNAUCGCCGACCUCUCACCAUUAGAGCGGCCGAUAUCGGAUUAGAUAGUUGGGGAGGGAGAGGAUCACCCAGGCGACGAUCCGUACCUGGUUUGAGAGGACGACCAGCCCCACUGGGACUGAGACGCGGCCCAGACCCCUACCGGAGGCAGCAGUGGGGAAUUUUGGAUAAUGGGGGAAACCCUGAUCCAGCCAUUCCCCGUGUGCGAUGAAGGCCUUCGGGUUGUAAAGCACUUUUGGCAGGAAAGAAAUCGCACGGGUUAAUAACCUGCGUGGAUGACGGUACCUGCCAAUAAGCACCGGCUAACUACAUGACAUCCCCCGCGCCACUACGAUAGGUGGGAGGGUUAAUCUGAAUUACUGGGCGUAAAGCGCGCGCAGGCGGUUCGGAUACAACGAUGUGAAAUCGCAAGCCUUAGCCUUGGAACUGCAUUCUUAACUAGUGGCUGUAGAGCAUGUCAUAGGGGGGAGGAUUUCCGAGUGCACCUCGGAAAUGCGUAUAUGUGUGGAUGAACACAGAUGGCGAAGGGAGCCACCUGGCAUCAUAGUGACGCUCAUGCACUACAAGCGUGGGGAGCAACAGGAUUAGAUAGCCUG